rnacentral:rRNA from 1 species
AUGGUUUGGCAGUGAGUGAUUCUUUUUAGGGGAAGGUGUGGUGUAAAGGAUGUUCCGCCUAUUAUUUUACUUUUAUUAUGUUGGUGUAUAUCUGAUUUAAUAUUAUUGCUUAAUGGUUUAAGUUUGUGUAUAUUUAUUUAAGUCAAGUCUAUGUGCUGCUUAUAAAAGUAUUCAUGCGUUACUUUAAUAAUAUGUUGGUUGAAAUAUUAAUUAAUUUAGGACUUAAUAGUAAUAUUUAAUUAAUUUGUAGAUGUGAAUAUAGUUUAGCUCAGGUACACACCGCCCGUCACCCUCGGUUA